CAAAACUCUCAAAUUUGUAUAAGAACUCUCUCAAUCACUCAAUAAAAUCCUCCACUUUUGCUGCAAGAGUGAACUUAUUUCUCCGAAAAUUUUUCUUUUGUAUCUCCAACUUCAUUGAUGGGCUAAGGUAAUAGGGUAGUUGGGUGAUUUCGAUCCAAUUCUAUGAGAUUACUUGUUUAGUUUUGCAUAUUAAUUUGAUCUAGGGCCCUUCUUCUUUUAUGCAUCCGCUAGAUCACCCGAUAAAUUUAAGCUUUAAUUUUAACAUCUAGAAGUGCUAAACUCAUCGUUAAAGUUUGAAUGUUAAUGAUUUUAGAAUGAAUUCUUUACCAUCAGUUAGGAUCCUAUUGAGUUUGUCUUUUAUUGUUAAUUUGAGAAUGUCCCAUUGAUUUUUUUAAAAGAUAGUGUUUGUUCGGUUUUGAAAAGUUCCAAUACGAAACUCUUGAUCUUAAUGUAAUUCAUUGUAAUUUUGUUAAAACCGCUAAGAUAGAUACUUAAUUGCAUAAAUUAGUAUGAAUCUUGUAUUUUACGUUGUUUGUUAAAUUAAGGCAAUUAGUCCCGAGGACCAAUUGAGGAUGAAGUUGAAUGCAAAUAUACUUUUGUUUUAACUAUUGGAAUUAAAUUGAAUUACCUAAAUCCCUACUUUAUUAAUGGAAAGAAAACACUUGUCUUUCUAUUUCUCGAGUUCUUGCCUACAAUUCAUUUACAUCUUCCAAAGAUUAAGACUUCUAUUUUUCUUUUUCUUCUUUGCAAAUUGUCACAAUCAAAUCUCCCUAUUACUACUAUUGUUUUAGAUUCUUGAAAUUACUAAAUUGUUUGAUUUUUUGGUUUCAAGUGCUUAUCAAGAACUCGGGUAUGCUACUUACAAUUUUAUUAAGAAAGUUGGAUAAAUUUUCUUGAAGAGCAUUUUAGGUAAAAGUUUCUCAUACCCGAUUCUUUUGUAUAAUUCUUUUGUCUAUUGUAUAGACUUUUGUUGUAAUUAGAUUGAUCUCUUAUGUGCAAUAGUUACUAGUUCUUGUAUAUUUCUUAUUUUUUUAAACGUCCUACCCAAAAUAGUUUUUAUCACCAACAACUUGCAAAUUGCGUAGAUGGCAAUGAAGAAGUAGAUUGUAUAUUUAUUGCAUCUCCUAUUGAUGACAAAGUGUCAAACUCAUGGCUUAUUGAUAGCAGAUGUGCUACUCACAUUGCUAAAUUGACAAAUCUAUCUACCCAUAUUGAAUUUUUAGUCAAAUUGACAAAUCUGUAGAGUCUAAAGUGAAUCUUGGACAUGGUAAAAUUAAAUAGUACUACCUAAAGGUAAAGGUAAAGACAAUGUCAUUAUGAAUAUUAAGGAAGGUAAAAAGAGACUAUCUAAUGUUUUAUAUGUUCUAAGGUUAUCUCAAAAGUUGCUUAAUUGCUCAGCUGUUGCAUAACAAAAUAUAUGUGUGCUCCAAAGAUCAAGUUUGUGUUAUUUAUGACCUUCAAGGAGCAGAGUUUGCAAAGGUCAAAAUGGUUGAAAUGCAUUUGUUUUUAGUGAUGACUCACUACGUCGUCAUCGUGCUUUUUUUGUACAUGACAUUGAUGACAACAAAUCUUUGAAAAUUUUGCAUUUUUCUAACAUGGUUGAUGGUUUUUCCAAUUUUAUAUCCAUUGAUCAGAUUUGUCAGUUUUCAAGAAGGGAAGGUGCACAAACAAGCAAUAUGAUUUCUCAAACUACUUGGUAGUUUUGGAUUUGAGCAAGAAAAGCCUACACACGAGUUUGUGUACUUCUAGUGCUUUCAAUCUAAUACAAUGUGGUCAAACAAGACACAUCCAACUCAAGAUUUUAUUUACCGAAGAAAGCGAAGAAAGCAAGAGAAGAAACUAAAAUAAUUGGACAUCUCAACAAUUUACGUUCACACCAAAAUCGAGUACCGAAGGAGUGUUGAGUUACGAGUUUUCUCUCACCUUUGGUUUCAAAUUUUCAUUUUAUACUUUAAGUUAUUGUUCGAUUUAUUUUGCAGUUUUUAAUUUUAAGUUAUUAAGUUAAUGUUACAAAUAUGGCUUUAUUUUGUAAGUUAUUACGUUUAGCUUUGUUCCUAUAGAAGUGUUUUGUAUCUCAGGUAUAACAUGCAUCACAAUUUUUUCUUACUUC
rnacentral:lncRNA from 1 species